rnacentral:rRNA from 1 species
GUGCCAGCAGCCGCGGUAAUACGAAAGGGGCUAGCGUUGUUCGGAUUUACUGGGCGUAAAGGGCACGCAGGCGGUCUUGCCAGUCAGGGGUGAAAGCCCGAGGCUCAACCUCGGAACUGCCUCUGAUACUGCAAGACUUGAGACUAGGAGAGGGUGGUGGAAUUCCCAGUGUAGAGGUGAAAUUCGUAGAUAUUGGGAGGAACACCAGAGGCGAAGGCGGCCACCUGGACUAGAUCUGACGCUCAGGUGCGAAAGCGUGGGGAGCAAACAGGAUUAGAUACCCUGGUAGUCCACGCCGUAAACGAUGAGUGCUAGUUGUCGGGACUUCGGUUUCGGUGACGCAGCUAACGCAUUAAGCACUCCGCCUGGGGAGUACGGUCGCAAGAUUAAAACUCAAAGGAAUUGACGG